rnacentral:rRNA from 1 species
AACCAUGCACCGAAGCUGCGGCAGCGAACGUAUCACCCAAGACAACUUUACGGAGUUGACGAUUGACGGAGCGAAGCGACGUCAAAGCGUUCAUUAAAGUCGAGUUGGCUUAGGGAUACGUUCGUUGGGUAGGGGAGCGUUCUGUAAGCCUGUGAAGGUGUGUCGUGAGGCAUGCUGGAGGUAUCAGAAGUGCGAAUGCUGACAUAAGUAACGAUAAAGCGGGUGAAAAGCCCGCUCGCCGGAAGACCAAGGGUUCCUGUCCAACGUUAAUCGGGGCAGGGUGAGUCGACCCCUAAGGCGAGGCCGAAAGGCGUAGUCGAUGGGAAACGGGUUAAUAUUCCCGUACUUGGUGUUACUGCGAAGGGGGGACGGAGAAGGCUAUGUUGGCCGGGCGACGGUUGUCCCGGUUUAAGCGUGUAGGUGUGUGUUCCAGGUAAAUCCGGUU